UAAAUGGAAGUCUUGGCAGAACUACUACAAUAAAUACACACUUCCUUUGCCUUCAGCUUUUCUUAGGUGGGCAACAUAAGCAAACAGUAGUU